rnacentral:tRNA from 1 species
GAAAGAGAAGCUCUAAGCGUCAUAUUGUAAGUAUGAAGAAGGCACUAUCGCAGCCCCUUUCCA